rnacentral:lncRNA from 1 species
UUUUAAUAAUAAAUGGUUCAAUUAGAUGAUCAUAUUGAUGUUUGAAUAUUCAUGAAUUGGUGUUAGUAGAUGAUUUACUAUGAUGCAUGAGAUUGGAGUUUUCAGAUCUGUGAUUUUUGGUUCUCGUAUUUAUAGAUUUCUACAUCGUGGUUUUCUACCCCUCGAGUUAGUCAGUUUUUAAAAUAGAGUUUCCGUAUGGGAAACAAUUUUAAAAUAGUUUUCGAAUGAUUUUCGUGAAUGUUUGAAUUAGAGUUUUAAAAACAAAGCUUCCGAAUGGGGAGCACUUUUAAUAGGAUGACUGUUGUAUUGUGCAUUGCAUCAUCCAGCGCCUAAGGAGUGCUUAGAGGCAUGCAUCACCUCUAAGGAUCGCUAGCUGAAUGGGAAUGCAUGGCAUUAAUGAUUGUUGAUUGAUAAAUGUAGGUUGUGGUUAUGAUCCUGUAGAUGUUAGUUGGUACGCCGUGCAAAUACAAAGGAGACUCUGUCCGAGUGGACAGAGAAACUUUGUAUUUGUGGUGGGUCUGUACGUCACCUAGAUCAGGUUGAAAAAAAAAAAGGGCACGUUUUCUGCAAUUCUGAUUUCAAAAUGGUAUCAAACUUUAAAAAGGCUUUUAAAAUCGGUCCCGCGCGGGGCGUGACAAUAAUAGGUAAAGAUUGUUAUAUUUAAAUAUAUUUAAUUAUAUUACUAAUUACUUUUUUAUUUAGUUGGUAUAUUUAAAAUAUGAUAAAAAUCGAUUAGUAAAACUUUAAUAUUUUUUUAUUUAGUUUGUACAAUUAAAAUAUAAUACAAAAUAAUUAAUUAAGUAUUAACAUUUUUAACUUUAUAAUUUUGUUAUUUAUUACUAUAAUUUAUGUAUAAAAAAAUAAUUUAGUUGUUUUAAAUUAAAUUUUAAUUAUAUAAAAAUAUAAUUAUAUUAUUUUUAUUUAUUAAAAUAUUUAUUAUUUAUAUAUAAAUUAUAGUUUUACAUCAUACACUUCCUACCAAACAAACAGCAGAACUAAUAAGACUUCACUUCUAUAACUACAAAACAAACAGCGAGAAUGAAAUAGUUUUCACCGAACUCCAGUUCAAUCCAAAGUCUACUUCAACCCGAAGUUCAGUUUCGGUGAAACAAACAUGUCCAAAGUGCUAGACCUUGCACGAGUUUAUCAA